UACGUAGGCAGCAAGCGUUGUUCGGAAUUACUGGGCGUAAAGAGUGUGUAGGCGGUGCUCUAAGUUCGGUGUGAAAUCUCCCGGCUCAACUGGGAGGGUGCGCCGGAAACUGGAAUGCUUGAGCGUGGGAGAGGAAAGCGGAAUUCCUGGUGUAGCGGUGAAAUGCGUAGAUAUCAGGAGGAACACCGAUGGCGAAGGCAGGUCUCUGGGCAUUAACUGACGCUGAGGAGCGAAAGCAUGGGGGAGCGAACAGG
rnacentral:rRNA from 1 species